UACGUAGGCAGCGAGCGUUGUUCGGAGUUACUGGGCGUAAAGGGUGUGUAGGCGGUUGUUUAAGUUUGGUGUGAAAUCUCCCGGCUCAACUGGGAGGGUGCGCCGAAUACUGAAUGACUAGAGUGCGGGAGAGGAAAGUGGAAUUCCUGGUGUAGCGGUGAAAUGCGUAGAUAUCAGGAGGAACACCGGUGGUGUAGACGGCUUUCUGGGCCAUUACUGACGCUGAGGAGCGAAAGCGUGGGGAGCGAACAGG
rnacentral:rRNA from 1 species